ensembl:lncRNA
CAGGGGACUUUCCUUUAGAACAGCCGCCCCCUAUCCCCCUCUGUCUCUAUAAAAGCAGCUCCCCUCCUUUGUUUUCUGGAUUUGCCUAUGCUUUGCCAUAGCGUGCAGAUCGUGUGUUGCAUUUCUUUUGAGGAUUCCUGAAUAAACUUAUUUUGAGAUAAAAUAAUAGGCAAAUUUGCUUUUAAGUUGACGCAGCUCUGGCAGAUUGAUUUUGAGUUAAAGCUAUUUGAAAAACAGCAAGAUGCCAAAUUGUGCUCUGACCUUCGUUUUUCUUCCUGAAAGUGGGAGAUAAAAUUCACAUGGGAAAGACGCCCUCGGUGUACCAGGAGAAAGAAACACUCUUACCACCAGAGACAUGCGUCAAGCCCGAGAGAAAUCUGUACAAACAGACCUUGUUAAAACAACUCUUCCUUUAAUCUCUCCAUAUAUUUUGGUUACUUUUCCACACUUACCACUCUCUGUUCAGCCUAGUAAAUCAGCACUUAGGCCUAAUCACUAAUUUGGGUCUUCAUUUUUCGUGUAAGAGCCGUCCUGUACGUGUAAAUAGCAUUUGUGUGCUUUUCUCCUGUCAACCUGUCUGGUGUCGAUCUUGUCUGGAGACCGUAGGAAGACGGAGGAAACCUUCACCUCCCCUCCAGUUUCUGGUCUGAGGAUGGCAGAGCCUUGGCUGAGACGCUGUUGGCUCCGGGGUCUGCAGCUGAGAGAUCUUGGGACCUGAGUAAUCCUGCAGAAGCCCCCCGGUGCAUAGUUGUAUAUUCUUAGUUCUGGAUCCUUCUAGCUGUGGCAUGUUGGACCCUGCGUCAGCAUGGCCUGACCAGCAGUGCCAUGUCCGCGCCCAGGAUUCGAACCAGCAAAACCCUGGGCCUCAGAAGCGAAGCACGCGAACUUAACCGCUCGGCCACAGGGCCAGCCCCUCUGUUUUUCUUAACUAAUGGAUUUUGUAUUUCCAUACCUGUAUCAUGGCUAAAAUUUAAAAAUAAAAGCCAUAAGAUCUCUGUUGGCAUCUGUCUCUAUGUUUCUGUGUGUCUAUAUAUGUAUGUUAUAUGUAUGUAAUAUUUUUCUACCUCCAAGAAGUAUUACUAAAAACUAGCUUGUGAAAGAACUCUUUUUAAUUGGCUUUUUAAAAAAAGUGUUUACAUAAAUUAAGAUCAGUCAAACAAACUUGUUAUCUUGUUAUCUCUACUAAAUGUUUAAGCUUAUAAAACUAUGCAUUCAACCUAAGAACCAAACAGACGAUGAAAGUGAAUUGCUUGAUGUAUAUCAAGCAUGACAGUAAAGAAAAAGCAAAAAAAGGGAGCGCGUCAUACGUUGACUUUUUUCGGUUCUGUGCUUCUGUGAUUUUUGAUACUGGCCUGAUUUGUCAACGAGAAAAAUAACUUAAGAUGAUGCUAUUUAAUGACUCGUGAAAUUUUCAUGAGUAAUCUCAGCGUGAUUGUUAAAAAAAAGUAAGUUAAGUAAACUUAAGUGGGAUAAAAAUUUAUGAGUAAACUUUUCAAAACUGAUUAUAUUUUAUAAUAUGUCUGCUUAAAAAUAGUUUUAAAUGCUUUUUGGAUGCUGGGAGCCUUAAAGUUAUACUAAGUUAAGUUAAAUGAUGGCUAGUCAUUGGACAUCUAGGUCAUUCACAAAUAAGAUAAAAUACUAAAAUAGGAAUUAUUAAACAUAAGUUUAAGUUUAUUUCCUUGGCUUCUUAAGUUUUACAGAGAGACUAAAGAUAUUUGGGUUAGUUAGUAAACAUAUCCUUUGCCACAUUAAAAAACUGUACUGUAAGGAAGUGUGUGCUUCUAGAAAGCGGGAAAUAGUGUCUUCCUAAACGCGAGACUCUCCUGCAGAAGCUUGCGGUGUACUUGGCAUAAAUGUUAGUAUGUCUACAGUUUGCAAUUGCUUGCUUCCUAGUUUUCACUGGAAAUUAGGGUUAUGAAAUUAUAAUCAACGUAAGUAAGUUAAACUAUUAUGAAUAAUAAGGGUACGGAAAAAACUCUAUGCGAAGUAUGCAAGGAAAAUAAGAUGUGUUUUUGGUAGGAAGAAUAUGAGAUAUGAAGAAUGCAUUCUUGUGAAGGGAAAAGGAGAGUAAUUUUGUCCUAGUUUAAGGGUAUUUAAAGAUUGUUUCAAAAUAAGAAAGAGAAAACAAGACAACAACCUAAGUGGGUACAGAAAGUUGGAGAGGGAGGAGAGAGAGAAAGUCUUAUCUUAUGUGGUCAAACUGACAAAACUUAAAUGGAUUUAUUAUAAGAGUUUGAAAAAUGAGCUUUAAUAUCCAUAAUGUGCUUGUGCAAAACUAGAAUUUGAUUUUCUUUCUCUGAUAAAAGGACAAAAUUUUCUUGAAUUAUUGUAAAAGUUUUCUUUACCUACUAAAUAAUUCACAUGGAAAACAAAAGACUCUGUGUUUCAUCAAAAUGCUGUCUCUAUCAGGUUUUUAAACAGGAAAACUGAGUCUUCUCAAUAUUAAAAGAGCUAAGGGUUUUUUUUCCCCCAACUAUGUAAUUUACUGCAUUUGCCUUUAAAAUCCUUGAUUGUCCCUUUGUGAAAUAGGUAAUAAGUAUGGUUUCAUAGUAAUCUGUGAUCCUAUUUACUCAAGAGUUCAAACCAUUGACAUUUUUUGACAAACUUCCCCAAAUCAAAUUCUGCGUUUCCCCUGCCCUCCCCGUGCCUCCUCUCCGCCUGCGGCGGACGCUCAGAAUCGGAGACGGGGACGCUGCCUCAGGCGCAUCUGCCUGUCACUCAGAGCCACCCUGCUUCCGCUGUGAGUGAGGCUGUCAAGUUUCUUGUCAGGGGGAGUGACGGGCAGGGUUCUGGGAGGGCCCGAGAUGGCCGCUCAGGGGCACACGGCCUGGAGCGAGGGGGCGCCUGUGAAUGUGACAGACGGCGACCGUGAUGUUACAUCAUGCUUCAGGAGGGAUCUUGUAGCCAUGAUGACCCGCAUGACUUCAUCAAAAGGGAGACUGGUCAAUGCUCGCAGUGUCUGUGCCACAGUGUCUCCGUCAGUUUCCUCAAGGUGCAUUGGCUGCUGUCAGGCAACAAUGGUACCACGUUCUCAGUCGUAAUUCCAGUCAUUCAGUAAAAUGGUAACUGGACCAGGAUCCCAC